AGUGUAGGCGGCUUACCAAGUCUGUUGUGAAAUCUCCCGGCUCAACUGGGAGGGUGCGGCGGAUACUGGUGGACUAGAGUGCGAGAGGGGAGAGUGGAAUUCCUGGUGUAGCGGUGAAAUGCGUAGAUAUCAGGAGGAACACCGGUGGUGAAGACGGCUCUCUGGAUCGUGACUGACGCUGAGACUCGAAAGCGUGGGGAGCAAACAGGAUUAGAUACCCUGGUAGUCCACGCCCUAAACGAUGCAUACUUGGUGUGGGCUCUUCAUUGAGUCCGUGCCGGAGCUAACGCGUUAAGUAUGCCGCCUGGGGAGUACGGUCGCAAGGCUGAA
rnacentral:rRNA from 1 species